UACCAUCCACAGUCACCAUCCAGGUAGUGAUACCACCAUCCACAGUCACCAUCCAGGAAGGAAACUACCAUCCACAGUCACCAUCCAGGAAGGAAACUACCAUCCACAGUCACCAUCCAGGAGGAAACUACCAUCCACAGUCACCAUCCAGGAGGAAACUACCAUCCACAGUCACCAUCCAGGAAGGAAACUACCAUCCACAGUCACCAUCCAGGAGGAAACUACCAUCCACAGUCACCAUCCAGGAAGGAAACUACCAUCCACAGUCACCAUCCAGGUAGUGAUACCACCAUCCACAGUCACCAUCCAGGAAGGAAACUACCAUCCACAGUCACCAUCCAGGAAGGAAACUACCAUCCACAGUCACCAUCCAGGAGGAAACUACCAUCCACAGUCACCAUCCAGGAGGAAACUACCAUCCACAGUCACCAUCCAGGAGGAAACUAACCA
rnacentral:lncRNA from 1 species